rnacentral:rRNA from 1 species
UACAGAGGGGGCAAGCGUUGUUCGGAAUUACUGGGCGUAAAGGGCGCGUAGGCGGCCUGCUAAGUCGAACGUGAAAUCCCCGGGCUCAACCCGGGGACUGCGUCCGAUACUGGCAGGCUUGAAUUCGGGAGAGGGAUGCGGAAUUCCAGGUGUAGCGGUGAAAUGCGUAGAUAUCUGGAGGAACACCGGUGGCGAAGGCGGCAUCCUGGACCGAAAUUGACGCUGAGGCGCGAAAGCCAGGGGAGCAAACGGG